GGCCUUGACAUACUAAGAACUUUCCAGAGAUGGAUUGGUGCCUUCGGGAACUUAGAUACAGGUGCUGCAGUGGCUGUCGUCAGCUCGUGUCGUGAGAUGUUGGGUUAAGUCCCGNAACGAGCGCAACCCUUUUCCUUAUUUGCCAGCGGGUCAUGCCGGGAACUUUAAGGAUACUGCCAGUGACAAACUGGAGGAAGGCGGGGACGACGUCAAGUCAUCAUGGCCCUUACGGCCAGGGCUACACACGUGCUACAAUGGUCGGUACAAAGGGUUGCUACCUCGCGAGAGGAUGCUAAUCUCAAAAAGCCGAUCGUAGUCCGGAUCGCAGUCUGCAACUCGACUGCGUGAAGUCGGAAUCGCUAGUAAUCGCGGAUCAGAAUGCCGCGGUGAAUACGUUCCCGGGCCUUGUACACACCGCCCGUCACACCAUGGGAGUUUGUUGCACCAGAAGUAGGUAGUCUAACCGCAAGGAGGACGCUUACCACGGUGUGGCCGAUGACUGGGGUGAAGUCGUAACAAGGUAAGCGUAGAUGA
rnacentral:rRNA from 1 species